UUAAGCGACUAAGCGUACACGGUGGAUGCCCUGGCAGUCAGAGGCGAUGAAGGACGUGCUAAUCUGCGAUAAGCGUCGGUAAGGUGAUAUGAACCGUUAUAACCGGCGAUUUCCGAAUGGGGAAACCCAGUGUGAUUCGUCACACUAUCAUUAACUGAAUCCAUAGGUUAAUGAGGCGAACCGGGGGAACUGAAACAUCUAAGUACCCCGAGGAAAAGAAAUCAACCGAGAUUCCCCCAGUAGCGGCGAGCGAACGGGGAGCAGCCCAGAGCCUGAAUCAGUAUGUGUGUUAGUGGAAGCGUCUGGAAAGGCGCGCGAUACAGGGUGACAGCCCCGUACACAAAAAUGCACAUGCUGUGAGCUCGAUGAGUAGGGCGGGACACGUGGUAUCCUGUCUGAAUAUGGGGGGACCAUCCUCCAAGGCUAAAUACUCCUGACUGACCGAUAGUGAACCAGUACCGUGAGGGAAAGGCGAAAAGAACCCCGGCGAGGGGAGUGAAAAAGAACCUGAAACCGUGUACGUACAAGCAGUGGGAGCACAGAGCAAUCUGUGUGACUGCGUACCUUUUGUAUAAUGGGUCAGCGACUUAUAUUCUGUAGCAAGGUUAACCGAAUAGGGGAGCCGAAGGGAAACCGAGUCUUAACUGGGCGUUAAGUUGCAGGGUAUAGACCCGAAACCCGGUGAUCUAGCCAUGGGCAGGUUGAAGGUUGGGUAACACUAACUGGAGGACCGAACCGACUAAUGUUGAAAAAUUAGCGGAUGACUUGUGGCUGGGGGUGAAAGGCCAAUCAAACCGGGAGAUAGCUGGUUCUCCCCGAAAGCUAUUUAGGUAGCGCCUCGUGAAUUCAUCUCCGGGGGUAGAGCACUGUUUCGGCAAGGGGGUCAUCCCGACUUACCAACCCGAUGCAAACUGCGAAUACCGGAGAAUGUUAUCACGGGAGACACACGGCGGGUGCUAACGUCCGUCGUGAAGAGGGAAACAACCCAGACCGCCAGCUAAGGUCCCAAAGUCAUGGUUAAGUGGGAAACGAUGUGGGAAGGCCCAGACAGCCAGGAUGUUGGCUUAGAAGCAGCCAUCAUUUAAAGAAAGCGUAAUAGCUCACUGGUCGAGUCGGCCUGCGCGGAAGAUGUAACGGGGCUAAACCAUGCACCGAAGCUGCGGCAGCGACGCUUAUGCGUUGUUGGGUAGGGGAGCGUUCUGUAAGCCUGUGAAGGUGUGCUGUGAGGCAUGCUGGAGGUAUCAGAAGUGCGAAUGCUGACAUAAGUAACGAUAAAGCGGGUGAAAAGCCCGCUCGCCGGAAGACCAAGGGUUCCUGUCCAACGUUAAUCGGGGCAGGGUGAGUCGACCCCUAAGGCGAGGCCGAAAGGCGUAGUCGAUGGGAAACAGGUUAAUAUUCCUGUACUUGGUGUUACUGCGAAGGGGGGACGGAGAAGGCUAUGUUGGCCGGGCGACGGUUGUCCCGGUUUAAGCGUGUAGGCUGGUUUUCCAGGCAAAUCCGGAAAAUCAAGGCUGAGGCGUGAUGACGAGGCACUACGGUGCUGAAGCAACAAAUGCCCUGCUUCCAGGAAAAGCCUCUAAGCAUCAGGUAACAUCAAAUCGUACCCCAAACCGACACAGGUGGUCAGGUAGAGAAUACCAAGGCGCUUGAGAGAACUCGGGUGAAGGAACUAGGCAAAAUGGUGCCGUAACUUCGGGAGAAGGCACGCUGAUAUGUAGGUGAAGUCCCUCGCGGAUGGAGCUGAAAUCAGUCGAAGAUACCAGCUGGCUGCAACUGUUUAUUAAAAACACAGCACUGUGCAAACACGAAAGUGGACGUAUACGGUGUGACGCCUGCCCGGUGCCGGAAGGUUAAUUGAUGGGGUCAGCGCAAGCGAAGCUCUUGAUCGAAGCCCCGGUAAACGGCGGCCGUAACUAUAACGGUCCUAAGGUAGCGAAAUUCCUUGUCGGGUAAGUUCCGACCUGCACGAAUGGCGUAAUGAUGGCCAGGCUGUCUCCACCGAGACUCAGUGAAAUUGAACUCGCUGUGAAGAUGCAGUGUACCCGCGGCAAGACGGAAAGACCCCGUGAACCUUUACUAUAGCUUGACACUGAACAUUGAGCCUUGAUGUGUAGGAUAGGUGGGAGGCUUGGAAGUGUGGACGCCAGUCUGCAUGGAGCCGACCUUGAAAUACCACCCUUUAAUGUUUGAUGUUCUAACGUUGACCCGUAAUCCGGGUUGCGGACAGUGUCUGGUGGGUAGUUUGACUGGGGCGGUCUCCUCCUAAAGAGUAACGGAGGAGCACGAAGGUUGGCUAAUCCUGGUCGGACAUCAGGAGGUUAGUGCAAUGGCAUAAGCCAGCUUGACUGCGAGCGUGACGGCGCGAGCAGGUGCGAAAGCAGGUCAUAGUGAUCCGGUGGUUCUGAAUGGAAGGGCCAUCGCUCAACGGAUAAAAGGUACUCCGGGGAUAACAGGCUGAUACCGCCCAAGAGUUCAUAUCGACGGCGGUGUUUGGCACCUCGAUGUCGGCUCAUCACAUCCUGGGCUGAAGUAGGUCCCAAGGGUAUGGCUGUUCGCCAUUUAAAGUGGUACGCGAGCUGGGUUUAGAACGUCGUGAGACAGUUCGGUCCCUAUCUGCCGUGGGCGCUGGAGAACUGAGGGGGCUGCUCCUAGUACGAGAGGACCGGAGUGGACGCAUCACUGGUGUUCGGGUUGUCAUGCCAAUGGCACUGCCCGGUAGCUAAAUGCGGAAGAGAUAAGUGCUGAAAGCAUCUAAGCACGAAACUUGCCCCGAGAUGAGUUCUCCCUGACUCCUUGAGAGUCCUGAAGGAACGUUGAAGACGACGACGUUGAUAGGCCGGGUGUGUAAGCGCAGCGAUGCGUUGAGCUAACCGGUACUAAUGAACCGUGAGGCUUAACCUU
rnacentral:rRNA from 1 species